UACGUAGGUGGCAAGCGUUGUCCGGAUUUACUGGGCGUAAAGAGCGCGCAGGCGGUCGUAUAAGUCGAAUGUGAAAGCCCCCGGCUCAACUGGGGAGGGUCAUUCGAUACUGUUCGACUCGAAGGCAGGAGAGGGAAGUGGAAUUCCGGGUGUAGUGGUGAAAUGCGUAGAUAUCUGGAGGAACACCGAUGGCGAAGGCAGCCUUCUGGGCCAACACUGACGCUCAUGCACGAAAGCGUGGGGAGCAAACAGG
rnacentral:rRNA from 1 species